AGUUAGGGGGAAAAAGAAAAAGAAGCAAAGGUCAUAUUGAUUUUCUUUUAAAAAGAAGAGGCAGAAAUAGCCAAUUCCUUGAUAAAAAUGAGGAAAGUGGACAAGUAUGAAAUAUAUACAUCUCCACUGGGAAUUUCUAGUAAUUUUCAUGUCAGCUGACAGUGUCAUUCUACCAAAUGGAACUCACUGAAAUCAUAUAGUUCUUUAAUUAUAAAAUCAUUUUGGGAAAAGAAAAAUGUACUUUAAUUUCUGUUGCUUCAAGGGGUUGUCCGUUCAAGAUAUUUUUCUGUCCACUAUAAAUUGUAUUAGAAACUAAGCUGUAAGAAAUAAAGAUACUACAUGUCUAACACACAUAUUCCUUUUUCUUAUUAAUGUUCUCUUUUCAUACAAACCUAUCCCAGUUCUUUCAACCCUUCCUCAUAUGACUUACCUUUCAGAACCCUUAUUCGUAGAUUGUCAGUACAAGUGACAUUGUGCCGAUUCUGAACAAUUUAAAAAAGGGUAGUUGUUGUAAGCCAAUUUGUUUUGGGGUGGUUUGUUACAUAGGAAAGCUAACUAAUAGAACAGAGAUAAUUCAAAUUUUGUCUUGUUUUAAAUAAUCACAUCAUACUGCAGGUUAUGAGCUGCUUAUCUUCUGACAUAAGCAUUUCUAAAGAUUUUUCAUUGUACUGUCUUCUUAGUAAAAUAAUUUUGUAUGUGCACCCCCAGACACAUAUUUACUAAAAUUAUAUAUAUGUACAGAUGCCAUUACAUAUAUUAAAUAUCAGUGAAGCUUGAUUUCUUUUUUUAAAAUAAAAAAAAAAUUUCAAAGAAUUCAGAUCUAUAUAAGCUAAAACAAAGGGUGCUACCCCACUUCACUCUCUCAACUCCCUCCUUGGAGGCAACACACAGCAAUUUAGUAUAUUUCUUUGCAGACCCUUUUCUAUGGUUGUUAAUGCAAACUUUAAAAGUAAUUUUUUGGCUGGGUAAGGUGGCUCACACCUGUAAUCACAACACUUUGGGAGGCCGAGGCAGGUGGAUCACCUGAGGUUAGGAGUUCAAGACCAGCCUGGCCAACAUGGUGAAACCUAGUCUCUACUAAAAAUACAAAAAUUAGCCAGGCGUGGUGGCGGGUGCCUGUAAUCCCAGCUACUUGGGAGGCUGAGGCAGGAGAAUGGCUUGAGCCUGGGAGGCGGAGGUUGCAGUGAGCCGAGAUUAUGCCACUGCACUCCAGCCUGGGCAACAGAAGGAGACUACAUCUCAAAAAAAAAAAAAAAAAAAAGUAAUUU
rnacentral:lncRNA from 1 species